GCUCCUGUAGCUUAGUUGUUAGAGUAUCCGCCUGGGAUACGGGAGGUCGCGCGUUCUAACCCCGGCCGAGCA